GGAGGUAUAGUUGAGUGGUAAAGCGUGCACUUGAUAUGCACGAGGUCCUGGGUUCAAUCCCCAGUGGCUCCG
rnacentral:tRNA from 1 species